rnacentral:rRNA from 1 species
UACGUAGGGUGCAAGCGUUGUCCGGAAUUAUUGGGCGUAAAGAGCUCGUAGGCGGUCUGUCACGUCGGUCGUGAAAACUUGGGGCUUAACCCUGAGCUUGCGGUCGAUACGGGCAUGACUUGAGUUCGGCAGGGGAGACUGGAAUUCCUGGUGUAGCGGUGAAAUGCGCAGAUAUCAGGAGGAACACCGGUGGCGAGGGCAGCCCCCUGGGUCGACACUGACGCUCAUGCACGAAAGCGUGGGGAGCAAACAGG